rnacentral:rRNA from 1 species
GGCGAACGCUGGCGGCAGGCUUAACACAUGCAAGUCGAACGCCCCGCAAGGGGAGUGGCAGACGGGUGAGUAACACGUGGGAACGUACCCUUUGGUUCGGAAUAACGUGGGGAAACUCAAGCUAAUACCGGAGAAGCCCUUAUGGGGAAGGGUUUACUGCCGAUGGAUCGGACCGCGUCUGAUUAGCUAGUUGGUGAGGUAAUGGGUCACCAAGGGGACGAUCAGUAGUUGGUCUGAGAGGAUGAUCAGCCACACUGGGACUGAGACACGGCCCAGACUCCUACGGGAGGCAGCAGUGGGGAAUAUUGGACAAUGGGGGCAACCCUGAUCCAGCCAUGCCGCGUGAGUGAUGAAGGCCUUAGGGUUGUAAAGCUCUUUUACCCGGGACGAUAAUGACUGUACCGGGAGAAUAAGCCCCGGCUAACUUCGUGCCAGCAGCCGCGGUAA